rnacentral:rRNA from 1 species
GACAGAGGAUGCAAGCGUUAUCCGGAAUUACUGGGCGUAAAGAGUUGCGUAGGUGGCAUUGUAAGUUGAUAGUGAAAGCGUUCGGCUCACCGGAUAUCCAUUAUCAAAACUGCAAAGCUAGAGGACGAGAGAGGUUAUUGGAAUUCCCUGUGUAGGAGUGAAAUCCGUAGAUAUAGGGAGGAACACCGAUGGCGUAGGCAGAUAACUGGCUCGUUUCUGACACUAAGGCACGAAAGCG